GGGUCCGGACACACUGAGGAUUGACAGGCAAUAUUAAUUUCGCCCCGGCGAUUUUAUGUUAAAUAUGCUAGUCCUUUCAUGAUUAUGUGAUAGGUGGUGCAUGGCCGUUCUUAGUUCGUGGAGUGAUCUGUCUGCUUAAUUGCGUUUCACUAAGGGCCUAUAAUUUAACGUGUGUUGCGGCACUUUGACCCCUCUUCGCGGAGNGUGCGUCUUAGCUUGUUUAGCUCUCACAAUUAGGUCCUGAAAGCAACGAACGUGACCGCAACCUCUUGUUGCCUUUAUACCAAACACAGUCUGACCUUCUUCACUGAAGGGCUGCCGUGAAAAAAGGCUUUUUAAACUAGAGGGACCGCUGUUACUUUCUUAAACCAGAGGAAGGUUGCGGCAAUAACAGGUCUGUGAUGCCCUUAGAUGUUCCGGGCUGCACACGUGCUACAAUGAUUAUUGCAGUGAGCAUCUCAUUUUUUACACACCGCAUUCACGAGUCCAUUUAUUCAUUCCUUCGGGUUUGCUUUAAAUGUGCAUCUCUGUGAGCGGUAAAGCCUGCUUCGAAAGUAAGUGGGU
rnacentral:rRNA from 1 species